rnacentral:rRNA from 1 species
AUACGGAGGAUCCGAGCGUUAUCCGGAUUUAUUGGGUUUAAAGGGUGCGCAGGCGGGAGAUUAAGUCGGCGGUGAAAUUUUGCAGCUCAACUGUAAAAGUGCCUUCGAAACUGGUUUCCUUGAGUGUAGAUGAAGUAGGCGGAAUUUGUGGUGUAGCGGUGAAAUGCAUAGAUAUCACGAGGAACUCCGAUUGCGCAGGCAGCUUACUAAACUACUACUGACGCUCAGGCACGAAGGCGUGGAGAUCAAACAGGAUUAGAUACCCUGGUAGUCCACGCAGUAAACGAUGAUGGCUAACCGCUGGGCUUAUCAGUUCAGUGGCCAAGCGAAAGCGAUAAGCCAUCCACCUGGGGAGUACGACCGCAAGGUUGAAACUCACAGGAAUUGACGGGG